UGGCAGCUCCUUCCACAAGCCCCCCUUCUUGCACUUCUCUCCUUCCAGACCCAGUCAGCAGGUAGCCGGCUGUUCUCUUGGUUCUCCUUAACUCACUUUCCCAAGCAGAGGAUGACUCGGAUCUCGUCGGGUGGACUGGAGCAGGGGGCACGGGAGGCCCCCUGGGUGCUAGGGCUGAAACGUGGUCAAUGCUUGCAGGGCUGGGGGGAGGCACUCCCAGGAAAUGGUCACCUCUCUGGCUGCCUUGGAGACCUGCAGAUCCCCGCCACCCCUGGUUCUUUGUGUUGUACUGGGGAGAAUAGGUCACGUCCCGGUGCGUGCUCCCAGGAGUCCCCAAAACUGUCUUGGCAGACCGUGUCAGGCACACACACACGUGUGCACAGCCCACCUGGCCUACCUGAUCCAGCUCUGGGCAAAGAGAAAACCAGAAGUAGAACCUAGGGAAGAGUCGGGAAGUCGAAACCCUGCAUCUUAUUUUGGGCUCAGCCACAUGCUGGUGGUGUGAUUGGAGCUCCCCAACUUCCCCUCUGGCACUGUGGCUUCCCCAUCAGGAACUCGGUGGCCCUAAAGCAUAACCCCCCUGCCUCCCUGUCCUGCGUGGGGAAGGACUGGCCAGGAGGGGCCCACGGCCCAGCUCAGCACUAACGACGAUGAGAGCAGUAAUCGCACCUUCUGAAACUCGCGUCACAUCAUGUGCUUUAAACUUACACCCCCCCCCCCCCGCCGUGAAAUAAUAACACGAGAAGAAUAUACCAAUAAUGAGAACUAGGGCUUCUCGUCUGAAGGGACUCAGCAGGAGCACUGGCCUGGGCUCGGAACACACGUGUCCCGGUUCGGGCUCUGCCUCUGACUUGCCAAAUGACCUUGGCCACGUUGCUUCCUCCUCUAGGCCUGCAGUUGUUUCCUCUGCUAAAUGGGAGGACUGGGCCACGUGGUCCUCAAGGCUUCUGCAGUCCUGGGAGUCUGGGCUCGGGUGAGCACGGCCUCUGAUUCCCGGGGCUGCUCUAACACAUCGCUGUAGCUCCAGCCGCUUGAAACCGCAGAAACGUGUUCUCGGUUCUGGAGACCCAAAGUCAGAAUCAAGGUGGACAGAGCUGUGCUCCCACCGGAGGCUCUGGGGGAGAAGCUCCCCACUCCCGCCUCCCCCAGCUUCCGGCUGCUGUGGGAUCCCCAGGGCAGCCUUUGGCUCCUGGCUGUAUCACCCCAGUCUUGUUCUUGUGCUCACGUUGCCUUCCGCAUGUGGCCUCAGCUGUUUCUCUGCUCUCUUUUACAAGGACACCUGUGAUGGUGUGUAGGGUCCAUUCGGAUAAUCCAGGAUGACCUCCUCAUCUCAAGUCCCUAGACUGAAUCAUAUCUGCAAAGACCCUUUUCCCAAAUAAGGCCUCAGCUUCCCUAAAGCACCCUGACGUGGCAGCCGGUUCUACUUCCAGAAGUCACCCCUGACUCCGGCCACUUGGGCAACACCCUUGCCAGCGGUAGCGCCCCACGUCAUCCUGGGGACAGCUGGGCCAGCGUCACCACAAACAAGCUUCUCCGCGGGAAGUCAGCGAGAGCCACGCGGCCGCGGUAGCGCAGGCCUCGGUGCAUGUUCUAACGUCUGGCUGCUUUUCCCUGUGCACAAAGUAGGACAUCAGACGCACUGCCCAAAGGUCUGCCUGUUGGAAGGACUUUCUCUUGCCGCUGUUCUUCAGGGCCACUCCGUUCACGUUCACCGUGAACCUACAUAUGGAACCAACUCAUCUGUAACUGAAGCUUGGGUUUUGGCUCCUGCCAUGUGGUUUAUCAGGUAUGCUCCUGUGUGGCCCUUCAUGAAUGGAGGGAGGGGGACGCUCGUGCAACAGGACAGCCAAAGUGAGGGGCCGGCCCGCGUGCUCGUGCAGCUUGCUGGAGCCCCACGUCCCCAUGGCCUCGGUCCCAGCCAUACCACUUCCCAUUUACGAUGAGCUGCUGCUGGCCUCCCUGACUGCAUGACUCCGUGGCCAUAAUAGCCCUUGGUUCAUGAUGGGCAGUUCCAGAUACACACUCAUCUGGGAUCCGGCGUCCAGGUGUUAUAUCUCGGCCAGGCCCGUAUCACACCAGGAGUCGUUUAUCAAUGACACAUCCAUCUCCCGUGCAGAUGGCAGGGCUGUGCAGAAGAACCCCAGGGGGUUAGGUUGUGAUUCUCCCACUGGGACUGACCAUGAGCUCCAUACAGCAUCGUUCCCAAACACCCCGACCUCUGACCUGAAAAGGCUGCUUACAGGUCAGCCUGGCCCUGCAGGGCCCUGCCCUGCUCCCGGCUCCAAGGUAGGAGCUGUGAACUCCUCAUUUGAGAUGGAGCCAGGAAACCCUGAGGGGGGCGCUGUCCUGCACUGACUGCAUCGCAGCCCGAGGAAGGAAGAUAAAGGAUUAUCUGGACGAGGGGAGGCGUUUUUCCACAUAGGAGUUUCUCUCCUACUUUUAAGUAAAAAAGAAAGAAGAUCCCUCCCCGCCCCAGCAACAAUGCAGCAACCACCCCGUGUGGCAAUGAGAACCUGCCACAACCUCCAACACUUGUUCUUCUCCAAUGAACUUUUGUUUAAAACAAGCCUCUCCAAUUUCCUCCUGAAACCUAAUAAAAGCUGACCUUCCCCCA